rnacentral:rRNA from 1 species
UGCAUGAAGCCGGAAUCGCUAGUAAUCGCGGAUCAGAAUGCCGCGGUGAAUACGUUCCCGGGUCUUGUACACACCGCCCGUCACACCAUGGGAGUCGGGAAUGCCCGAAGUCGGUGAGCUAAGAAAGAGGCAGCCGCCGAAGGCAGGCCCGGUAACUGGGGUGAAGUCGUAACAAGGUACC